CGGCGUGCCUAAUACAUGCAAGUCGAGCGAGCGGGAACCAACAGGAUUUACUUCGGUAAUGACGUUGGGAAAGCGAGCGGCGGAUGGGUGAGUAACACGUGGGGAACCUGCCCCUAAGUCUGGGAUACCAUUUGGAAACAGGUGCUAAUACCGGAUAAUAAAGCAGAUCGCAUGAUCAGCUUUUGAAAGGCGGCGUAAGCUGUCGCUAAGGGAUGGCCCCGCGGUGCAUUAGCUAGUUGGUGAGGUAACGGCCCACCAAGCCGACGAUCAGUAGCCGGUCUGAGAGGAUGAACGGCCACACUGGAACUGAGACACGGUCCAGACUCCUACGGGAGGCAGCAGUGGGGAAUCUUCCGCAAUGGGCGAAAGCCUGACGGAGCAACGCCGCGUGAGUGAUGACGGCCUUCGGGUUGUAAAGCUCUGUGAUCGGGGACGAACGGUCAGCAGACGAAUACUCUGCUGAAGUGACGGUACCCGAAUAGCAAGCCACGGCUAACUACGUG
rnacentral:rRNA from 1 species